AGGGGGACCGGCGGUCCGGGCGAGGCCUCGGCCGCGCAUCGCACCCCGGCUCCCCGCCGCCGGAGUUGAGGGGGAGGCGCGCUCUCCGUAAGAGCCGGAGGCGGGGCGCCAUCGCCCUCCCACUCCCCGGCGGGCGGGCCGGGGGAGCCCGGGGCUGCGAACACCCCCAGACGGGCGGCUGCGGGAGGGGAGGCUGGACCAAGGGGCCUGGUCCACCGGACCAGCGGUGGCGGCAUCGGCAUCUCGCCUCCUUCAGGCCUGCACGCGCCACAGGCCGCAGCCUGGACCAACCCCGCGUCCCCGGGCCGUGAGCGCUGCGGUCCCGGCCCCCCAGAGCGGGACGCCGGGCGGCCGCAGCCCCCCGGACCCGGCUCUCCGCCCGCUCCGCCCGCAGUCCCGGCGCGGAGAGCGGCCGCCCGAGCCGCUGCCGCGGCAGCGCGGGUGUCGGCGACGGAGCCCGGGGCGGGGAAGAGCGGAGGAAGGGGCGGCGAGGGGGCGGGCCGGCGGCGGCCAGGGAGGUCGGAGUGCGCGGGGCUCGGCACCCCCUCGGCCCGCGCUGCGCCAGCACCACCUGCGGAGCUGCGGUGCCCACGCCGUGCCGCGACCCCGCCGCCCCUGCUCCCUCCACACGCGGGCAAACAAAACAAGUUGCCGGUCGCUGCCGCCGGAGGGGGCCGGGCGGGUCACUCACCCUCAUCCUGCUCAGCGGGCUUGGGUCGUCCGGCCGCGGGGUCAGGGAAGACCAGAGGACCACUAGCCCCAGGAAGCUUCCCACCACCAGCAAACUGCGUGGUGAAUUUGUAACCGAAAGGCCCAGGUGAGAUGUGCAAAUAUCACUGGAUUGGAGGAGCUCACUUGGAAAGCCAGUAUUCCUCCUGAGCUAAUGAAAAGAAAGGCUGUCGUCUUAUGCCAAAAGCAAUACCAACCUUGUUCACGGGCUGAGAUCUAGAGUGUGUAAUUCACGAAGUAUGAAUCUGCUGGGUAAUGUGAUAUGAAAAGCGAAUGCACCAUUUCUUGGUGAUGAUUCAGGUCAGCGUUGGGACCCAGGAAUCUCCUGUUAAUCAGUACCCUGGUGAUUUUGAUCCAGGUCAUCAAGACCAUGGCUUCCAUCGUAGGCAGUCACACUCUUUCUCUCUUGGAUCAUUUGCUGUGGGGAAGCAAACUGUCAUAUGAGAGGACACUCAAACAGCCUCUGGAGUCUCAUUUGCUAAGGAACUGAGGACUCCAGCCUGAGAACUCAGGCAAGUAACUGAGGCCUGCCAACAACCAUGGAGAAAGCCUGGAAGUGGAUCCUCCCUCAGCCUUCAGUCGAGACAACAGCUGCAAUGACAGCCAAGCCAGCGCCACCCAGCUUAGCCACCCCCAGAGAACUAACUCUCAGAAACCAUGUAAGAUAAUACAUGUUUGUUGUUUUAAGCUGCUAAGUUUUGGGGUAAUUUAUUAUACAAUAGAUAAUUAAAACACAUAGCAUAUAAAUAAAAUCAAUAAAACCAGUAUGGGUCAGUAAUGAGUAAAUUAGAUAAUUAGACAAAUUUUGACAUUUCUGUUUCUAUGUUAAUUAUUUUUCUUCAGAAAAAUUCUCUACGGGUAAAAUAUGUUAAGAGUGGUUACCAACGGACAUUUUAAAAUUAAUAAUCAGUUUGGGAGGCCAAGGCGGUUGGAUUGCUUUAACUCAGGAGUUUGAGGCCAACCUGGGCAACAUGACAAAACCCUGUCUCUACAAAAAAUACAAAAAUUAGCCAGGCAUGGUCGUGUGUGCCUGUAGUCCCAGCUACUUGGGAAGCUGAGGUGGGAGGAUCAAUUGAGCCUGGGAGGCCAGGCUGCAGUGAGUCAAAAUCAUACCAUCUCAAUCCAGCCUGAGCAACAGAGUGAGACCCUAUCUAAAAUAUAUACAUGUAUAUUAACAAUUAUCUCUUGAAACUAAAGUAUAAUCACAGUACUAGUGUACUAUUUUCCAUUUUAUUAAAUGCACUAAACAGUAUUGCAAUGUGUUUGUGUUUAUUAAAAAAUAUUUUGGAAAUCUUUGGGAGAAAAGCUACUUCAAAUUAGUCUGAAAACUAUCAUUUCCUUCUAGCAAUGUGUAAUAAUGUAAUGACUGCUUAGAAUUUCCUGAGAGGGACUGUAACAUAUAUUUUAAGCAUAAUAUUGUAAACAAACAAGUUCUUUUGCAGUACUUGAAGAUCUUUUUUUGUGACUAUCCCCCUUAUAUAUUAUGAAGAUACAUUUUUUGUGACUAUCCUCUUUAUAUGUAUUGUGAAGAUAAGGUUUUUUAUAGUGAAUAUCCUCCUAAUGCUACUAGUAUUGUUUGCAAUCUGUCAUUAUUCUUAGUGUAAAAUUAAACUUCAACAGAGUACCUGUGUGAAAAAAAAAAAAAAAAAAAAAAAAAAAAAAAAAAAAAAAAAAAAAAAAAAAAAAAAAAAAAAAAAAAAAAAAAAAAAAAAAAAAAAAAAAAAAAAAAAAAAAAAAAAAAAAAAAAAAAAAAAAAAAAAAAAAAAAAAAAA
rnacentral:lncRNA from 1 species